ACUCGAGUGGCGAACGGGUGAGUAACACGUGGGUGAUCUGCCCUGCACCUCGGGAUAAGCUUGGGAAACUGGGUCUAAUACCGGAUAGGAGCCAUCUUUAGUGUGGUGGUUGGAAAGUUUUUCGGUGUAGGAUGAGCUCGCGGCCUAUCAGCUUGUUGGUGGGGUAAUGGCCUACCAAGGCGGCGACGGGUAGCCGGCCUGAGAGGGUGUACGGCCACAUUGGGACUGAGAUACGGCCCAG
rnacentral:rRNA from 1 species